rnacentral:rRNA from 1 species
CCUACGGGAGGCAGCAGUGAGGAAUAUUGGUCAAUGGACGAGAGUCUGAACCAGCCAAGUAGCGUGAAGGAUGACUGCCCUAUGGGUUGUAAACUUCUUUUAUAUGGGAAUAAAACGUUCCAUGUGUGGGAUUUUGUAUGUACCAUAUGAAUAAGGAUCGGCUAACUCCGUGCCAGCAGCCGCGGUAAUACGGAGGAUCCGAGCGUUAUCCGGAUUUAUUGGGUUUAAAGGGAGCGUAGGUGGAUUGUUAAGUCAGUUGUGAAAGUUUGCGGCUCAACCGUAAAAUUGCAGUUGAAACUGGCAGUCUUGAGUACAGUAGAGGUGGGCGGAAUUCGUGGUGUAGCGGUGAAAUGCUUAGAUAUCACGAAGAACUCCGAGUGCGAAGGCAGUUCACUGGACUGCAACUGACACUGAGGCUCGAAAGUGUGGGUAUCAAACAGGAUUAGAUACCCUGGUAGUC